CUAUCAUUAUAAACAAGAGUGCACACGCUAAAAUGUCUCGCCUUCUAUACUAAUCAUUGAUAUUAUGUUGAUAGUCCUAAGUAUAAAGCUAAGCUUUAAUACAACUGUCACAUAAACUUAACAUUAACCAAGAUAACUAAACAAAGACCAAUGAACCUUGAAAAUGAGGUCAAGGUCAGAUGAACCAUGCCAGGCAGACAUGUACAGCUAACAAUGCUUCUAUACAACAUAUAUAGUUGACCUAUUACUUAUAGUUUAAGAAAAAUAGACCAAAACACAAAAACUUAACACUAAAUGAAAAUCAGGUCACGGUCAAAUAAAACCUGCGCAACUGACAUAAAGAUCAUAAAAUAUUUCCAUACACCAAAUAUAGAUGGCCUAUGGCAUAUAGUAUUAGAUAAAAAG
rnacentral:lncRNA from 1 species